CAGUGUCCCAUGGCACUCAGAGCUCGGGUGAUGGCCCGUGGCUGCAGAUAUCUCAGCUUUCAUGUCUUAGGAUGCCUUUCCAUGCUUCUUAUCGCUGCCUGGUGCUGCUGUGAUGGCCUGUGGCUCACAGAGCAGCCCUGUGCUGCUUUACUUUCCAUGUCCUGGCUGCACUUUUAUCUCUCUGCCCUCAUCAGGUGCUUCCUGGCUCAAGCACAUGUGUUUUCCCCUGGGAAAAUACACUUUUUCUUAGUGACAAAGGCAAAGCUUGAGAUAAACCAUCUCAGUACAGCAAGAUUAACAGAGGUUGAGAGAAAAUAAAUGUGUGGUCAUCACCUAGUGUCAGAAGCAUCGAACAGAUAGGAAGCUGAAUGCCCCAUUCACCAUUUUUCUAGACAAGAGGUAAAAAAGCCAGAAGAAAUUGCAGUUGUGUGUUACUGGAAGAACAGAGUGCAUCACCUCAUCCCUUCACACCUGCAGAGAAUGCAGCUUCUCCUUCAUCGCCAGGUUAAAAUCCCACCCACUUGUGGGUGGGAUAUUGUUUUGAAUAUCACCUGGGCUACUGCUCUUCAUGAUUCCCGAUUUUCUACCCCAAGGAUAUAGAGACCUGACUGUCACCUACAUUGCUUUCCUCUACAGUUAUAGCCAAGGGAUGAAACAAGCAGAAUAUGAGUGAGAGGUGGCAUCACGAAAGCUCACCAGGGGAGAAGGCAAAUUUACCUGUUCUCCACAUGAGGAAAUAAUGGAGCCAGUGUGACAAUUUUCCAUUGAAAUUGGGUUUUGGAAACAAACAGUUAGCACCUAAAUAAGUCUAUUCACAGGAAACACCCAUGUCUCAUGGAAAAUGUCAGUUUUUCAGAUAGAGAAAUGCAUUAAAAUGUCAUAUGUCAAAAUAUAUCAAAGAUAUUUUGUCUGAACUAAAGCUGAGGUGGGGUUGUUUGCAAAAAUUCAAGCAGGGAGAAGUUUGACUUCUCUGACUGAAUAAUUAUUACAGCUGGCUUUAUCCACAGUGCAAUGUAACUGUGUCCUUUCUACAUACAGGAAAAAGCCUGAUUUAUCUGAGUGAUGAAAUUAAGGGAGAAACAGGGCAUUGAGUGUUCUGGAUAAAGUUGUUACCAUUCCAUCAUCUCUCCGAGAGCCUGCAGCCCCAGAGAGGUCAGCUGGCAUUUCUUUCUCACUCUGCAAUCAGCACUGAAGGCAUCAGGAUUAUCUCAUGGAAGAGGCACCUUUAUUGGGCACGCUGCUCAGCAUAAAUCCAACAUAGGUUGCCCUUUUUUAUUCCCAGAACAGCUGACAAGAGCUUCCCAAGUGGCUGCCUACCCUGAAGAGAGAGGAGAGAUCAGCAAGGACAUACCAAGAGAUCCACAGAUGGGUACUUGGAUGCAGCCCUGAAGAUUAGAGCAAUAGCAUCAUCCAUAGUCAACUAGAAUUUCUCUUCUACAGGCAAUAAAUAUUGGAUUAUUUAUUUUGCAUCACGACUGCCUACUCCUCUCCUUUCUAUUUUUCCCUCUGUAUGAUCAAGCUUGCAUUUUGCUAAAGGCUCUCUUGCUGACUUUCCAUUGGUGCUGGGAUUCACGCUUGCUGGAAAUGGGGCCCAAGGGAAUGGUGAGGUUUAUUCCAUCAUGCCACAGCUGCAUCCCCAAGCCCACCAUGCCCUGCCUUACCACACUGCCAGCCAAAGCCUUUUCUGUGCCACUCACACCUUGUGGGCCAAGCUCUGGUAGCCCUCCUCUGCUGUGCUACAUCCCUUCCCAACCCAGCCAUCUCCCCCAGGCCACCAUCUAAAACCUGAGCGUGGUCCUCUGUUCCAAUCCACGCUUCCAUUCCAUCCCAUUCAUCACCUAAGCAAAGUUCUUUCAAUAACCACAAAUCCUCAGCUGCCCAGUCCCAUCCCUGUCCACUGCUCUUCCACCCUCACUGCUUCACACCCUGCACUGCAGCUGACCCACAGCCUUAGCACUGCCAGGUUUUUCACAGCAACCUGUCCUCUUUAUUUCUCAGAGCAUUAAAUCUCUUUUCUUACCAUGAUGGCUGGAAGAAACAAAACAUUCUCCCUGGUUUCCUGCUAAAAUUUUGUGCUAAUAGAAACACACCACAUUUUUCAAGCCUUUUUUCUCUACCUAUGUUUGGAUGAAUGAUGCCAUAGCUAAGCACCCUGUUGUAUACCCUGCAGUGCUGUCUUCUCAAGAAAAGCUUCUAUCUCCAUGGUCACAUCAUGGCUAUUUUUAGUG